CCUACGGGAGGCAGCAGUGGGGAAUAUUGGACAAUGGACCAAAAGUCUGAUCCAGCAAUUCUGUGUGCACGAUGAAGGUCUUCGGAUUGUAAAGUGCUUUCAGUUGGGAAGAAGAAAGUGACGGUACCAACAGA
rnacentral:rRNA from 1 species